UACGGAGGGGGCUAGCGUUGUUCGGAAUUACUGGGCGUAAAGCGCGCGCAGGCGGUCUUCCAAGUCAGUGGUGAAAGCCCGGAGCUCAACUCCGGAACUGCCAUUGAAACUGUUAGACUUGAGGACGAGAGAGGUGAGUGGAAUUCCUAGUGUAGAGGUGAAAAUUCGUAGAUAUUAGGAAGAACACCAGUGGCGAAGGCGGCUCACUGGUCCGGUACUGACGCUGAGGUGCGAAAGCGUGGGGAGCAAACAGG
rnacentral:rRNA from 1 species